AGAGUUUGAUCCUGGCUCAGGACGAACGCUGGCGGCGUGCUUAACACAUGCAAGUCACGGGGGCCCGCAAGGGCAACCGGCGAACGGGUGCGUAACACGUGAGCAACCUACCGAGUUGAGGGGGAUAGCCGGCCCAACGGCCGGGUAAUACCGCAUACGCUCAGUUUGGGGAUUCCCAAGCUGAGGAAACCUCCGGGGCAAUUCGAGGGGCUCGCGGCCUAUCAGCUAGUUGGCGGGGUAACGGCCCACCAAGGCAUCGACGGGUAGCUGGUCUGAGAGGAUGGCCAGCCACAUUGGGACUGAGAGACGGCCCAGACUCCUACGGGAGGCAGCAGUGGGGAAUCUUGCGCAAUGGGCGAAAGCCUGACGCAGCGACGCCGCGUGGGGGAUGAAGGGCUUCGGCUUGUAAACCCCUGUUGCCCGGGACGAACUUCUGGUUUUGACCAGAUUGACGGUACCGGGUGAGGAAGCACCGGCUAACUCCGUGCCAGCAGCCGCGGUA
rnacentral:rRNA from 1 species